GUAGGUAUGAUGAAAUAGGUAGACAUGCUAGAUUUAGGUUCUAGUAAUUUUUAUUGUGAGGGUUCGAGUCCCUCUACCUAUA
rnacentral:tRNA from 1 species